UACGUAGGUGGCAAGCGUUGUCCGGAUUUACUGGGCGUAAAGGAUGCGUAGGCGGACAUUUUAAGUCAGAUGUGAAAUACCCGAGCUUAACUUGGGUGCUGCAUUUGAAAACUGGGGGGACUUGAGUGCAGGAGAGAAGAGUGGAAUUCCACGUGUAGCGGUGAAAUGCGUAGAGAUGUGGAGGAACACCAGUGGCGAAGGCGACUCUUUGGCCUGUAACUGACGCUGAGGCGCGAAAGCGUGGGGAGCAAACAGG
rnacentral:rRNA from 1 species